GGUUGCGAGGCAGGCGACAGAACCACUGGGCUAAAUCCCCGGCCCUACCCAUUCAUUUUUCAUUCAGUCCCUCUCCACCCACCAAACUAUCCACCUCCACCCUGUCUAUUCACUCACCCAUUCACCUGUCAGUCUAUCCUUUAUCCAUUCUUCCUCCACCCAUCUCCUGCCCAUCUAACCAGCCAACUGGAUUUAUGGAGCGCCGAUGAUUUUCCAGGUGUGGACUACUCAGUGAGCUCACUCACCGGCCUCCUGUUAGUCAUCAUCUGGUGGAACAAAACGAUGUCCUAUAGGAACGUGGGCUCUGAGACACAUAGGCAGGACUUACGUGACUGGCUGGGAGAGGAGGGGCCAGGGGGCUUUCAAUAGGAAGCAGCCCUGGACCUGAGUGUUGAGAGGGGUAAGACUGAAGGGCUUGCUGAGUAGAGAAUCAGGGUCAGGGCUAGAGGGCAAGAAAGGCUGGUUUUCUCGGUGUGUGAAGACCAGGGAGCCAGAAAACAGACCGAGCACACAGAAUCCAGCUGGAGCUGAAGAGCUGGGGAUCUGGCGGUCCACAAGCAAGCCCAUGAGCAGCCCUGCUAUACAAGCCACACCAUCCCUCGAGGUCCUCAGAGCUCGAGGGCACAGAAUCUAGUGGACCCCCCAAGUGAGCAUCAGGACAUCAGAGGAGCAGCUCAGGGGAAUGCAAACUUGCGAAGAAGUGAAAAGGAAACAGCAGAGGGCUGGGAGUGUUGCUCAUGCUGGAGGCCCUGGGUUCCAUCCUCAGCAGUGCAAAAACAAACGGACAAACAAACAAAAAAACAAAAAAGAUGAGUUCCUUUUGUGUCCUAAUUUGGUGAUAACAAAACCCAUGUGCCUCUAUUUGUAUUUUGGGCUGGCAUUGAACAACCCAAAGAUGAACAAUAAAUAUAUAUGGUGAUCAUUUAA